CCCUUAGAUGUUCUCGGCCGCACACGCGCUACACUGAAAGAGGCAACGUGUUUGCCUGAUUCGAAAGAAUUGGGUAGCCCCCUAAUCUCUUUCGUGCUGGGGAUUGAGGUUUGCAAUUAUCCUUCAUGAACGAGGAAUUCCCAGUAAGUGCGAGUCAUUAUCUCGCGCUGACUACGUCCCUGCCCUUUGUACACACCGCCCGUCGCUACUACCGAUUGAAUGAUUUAGUGAGGACUUCGGACUGAGUCCAAUGCGGCUUUCGGGCUGCGUUGGUAUUUCGGAAAGAUGUCCAAACUGUAUCAUUUAGAGGAAGUAAAAGUCGUAACA
rnacentral:rRNA from 1 species